GUACUUAAUAGCACGUGUUUAAUAAAACUAAGGCAUUUCAUGUACACAAAAAGAACAUAGCAUAUGUCCUUCUAAGUCUGUAGAUGAAGAUUAGAGGAUGUACAGUCUAUGUCUACUAAAAACCCUGCAUGUAUUCCUUCUCUCAGGAAUUUGCUGCCUCACGUCAUAGUCCUUUUGAAGACUGAUACUAAACUACUUGUUAUUUUUCAUGCAAGAAGCCUCUCACAGAUCAAAUUCUCUUGGCUAUCAACAACUUUCUUGUCAUUCUCUCACAUCCUAACUUCAGCUGCCCAUCAUUAAAAAGAGAUUUAAUUGCAUUCUGCCCUUUUCUGGCUAUAUGGAAAAAGGCUAGCACUAGCUGUUAGAGUACUGUGAGACAUAUUUAUGGCAACAUUUAUAUUGAAAAUAUAUGGUCUUGAAAAGUGUGUGUUUUUUGUUUCUUUGUUUUUUAGGGUAAAGACAGGCAGAGGGGUUGAAAAAAAGGAAGACGCAUCAGACACAAAGCAAUAUAGCUGCUGCCUUCAGUUUGAAAAUUAAUUAAAUCAGUUCAAAAAUUAAUUAAAUCAUGGACUAACUCUGUGUUGGUUUCCUUUUUGCUCUUUAAAUAAUGGAAAUACUAAGAGGCCCUGGGAAAAGUGCAUGUUGACUUCCAUCCUUAAAAAAUACUUAAUUAACGGCUCUUGUCUCUCAACCUUGUUGGUCCAAGGUGUGUACAUUAGCAUCUACACUGAAGAUAAAGCUACCUUUAAUCUUGUGGCAGGCACAACUUUACUGACUCCAAAUAUUUGUAAACAGUCAUAUUUUCUGAUUGCCUUUUAAAGAGUAAAGAAAGUAGCAUGCAAGCAAAUAUUACACAGCUUGUUAGUGCACCACUGGUGGGACUGUUUCAAGUGUAUUUAGAAAGGAAGAAACUUAUUUCUCACAAGCCUAUUUGCAGAAGAGAUCUUUGCUGAAUGCUUGACACAAAGACUUAUGAUAUCUGCUGAAAUGCAGGAAGUGAAAAGAGAUGCCGACCAUCUGAACUACAUGACAAAGCACACAGCAGGAAGGACACAGUGUGGAUCUGUGACAAUGACAGGCAGGAACAGCUCUGGAGCCUCUGACCAAGCACUGCAUGCAAAAUCUCUGUCCUGCAUCCUUCAGUGGCUAAGGCACAACUGAGCCAGAAAAACUAAGUUUCACUAAGGUGUUUUUAAAUGGACUAGAGACAUUCACAGCCUGUGAAGAAAGAAUUAAAUUGUCUUCAAAAUAAGCAAAACCAACAUUUUUCAUCAAGGUUAAUUAGAGGGCAAACAAAAUUGUACCCCUUGAUCAGCCCAUGCUGCCUGGUCCCGUUGAUGUGCAUUCCCUCUCCCCCAAAAUGAACCUGUACCCACUGCUCUGCUCUUUGCUUCCCUUUUGCAAGUGGAAAAUAAGCCUCAAGGGCACAGGUGUGCAGUGAUAUUAAAAAUAGACACCACUUUUCAAGACAGCCCCUAAAAGAGCCAUCACUGGAACAAGCCUCUGCCUGUGUUAGCUGAUCCAUUUGGUGCUCUGGUUUGCAAAAAUGAAACCAGGGUUUCAGAAACACAGCUGCCCCCAAGCUAAUGUGGUCUCUAGUUUGAAAGGAAGGGAUGCUGUUUCCUCCUUCCCUUCCUUCCUUCCUUCCUUCCUUGCUUUCUUGCUUCACUCCUUCCUUCCCCAAAGAAAAGCACCAAGGACAACUUGAAAGAGACAAAAAUGUAAACACAGUUUUUGAUGACAUACAUAAACCGAAGCAAGUAUAUGGAGAUUAAUACAAUUUCAAGAAAUUCAGCCACCUGAUAUAAUGUUUUGACAUUUUGAUAACACCCUUUGGUGGCUCAGACAAGAGCCACCAAAGUCCAGUGUAUGUUUUAUUUCACAGAAAAUC